rnacentral:tRNA from 1 species
GCCCACAUAGCACAGCGGUAGUGCAACCGAUUUGUAAUCGGUAGGUCGGGAGUUCAAUCCUCUCUGUGGGCACCA